GCUGGGUGUGGUAUUGCACAGUUGUAACCUCUGCUACUGGGAAGGCUGAGACUGGUAGAUCAUUCAAGUUCAGGAGUUCUGAGCUGAAAUAGGGCUAGAAAUUGGGUGUUCAUGCUAAGUCUGGCACCAGAAUGGUGACCCCCUAGCAGUAGGGGUUCAUGAGGCUGCAUAAGCAGAGGCAAACCGGCCCAGGUCAGGAACUGAACAGGUUUAUAACUUUCAUGCUAAUCAGCAGCGAGGCAGAGCUCAAGAGUGUCAACUGCACCUCCAGCCUAGACAAUAUGGAAGGAA
rnacentral:SRP_RNA from 1 species